AUUUGAAGCCUGGUCCCCAGAACUGUGAGGCCAACGCUCUACAGCUGCUCCACCAUUUACCUGAGAGUAUGAGAACCUGUGAGACCGUAAGAACCUUUGCUGCACAGAUACAACAGAGGAACAUUUUGUCAGUUCUCUUGGAAAGAGAACUUCGUAAACCAAUCACAACCAUCCAAGGAAUUUCCUGACCCCUUACCUGCGGAUCCCCUUUGUCGGACUCAAUCAACCAGGAAGCC